rnacentral:rRNA from 1 species
UACGAAGGGUGCAACCGUUGCUCGGAAUUAUUGGGCGUAAAGCGCACGUAGGCGGCAUUGCAAGUCGGAUGUGAAAUCCCUCGGCUCAACCAAGGAAGUGCAUCCGAAACUGCAGUGCUUGAGUACUUAAGAGGAUCGCGGAAUUCCCGGUGUAGAGGUGAAAUUCGUAGAUAUCGGGAGGAACACCAGUGGCGAAGGCGGCGAUCUGGGAAGAUACUGACGCUGAGGUGCGAAAGCGUGGGGAGCAAACAGG